UACGAAGGGGGCUAGCGUUGCUCGGAAUCACUGGGCGUAAAGGGUGCGUAGGCGGGUCUUUAAGUCAGGGGUGAAAUCCUGGAGCUCAACUCCAGAACUGCCUUUGAUACUGAAGAUCUUGAGUCCGGGAGAGGUGAGUGGAACUGCGAGUGUAGAGGUGAAAUUCGUAGAUAUUCGGAAGAACACCAGUGGCGAAGGCGGCUCACUGGCCCGUUACCGACGCUCAGGCGCGACAGCGUGGGGAGCAAACAGG
rnacentral:rRNA from 1 species